GGCAGUGUGGCUCUGUGGUAGAACAUGUGCUUAGGAUGCACAAAGCCUGGGUUCAAUCCCCUGCACUUUCU
rnacentral:tRNA from 1 species